AUUUUUCUGCCGACGUAUUUUCACAUUAUGGACAGUGUGGGUCUUCAUUAAAUAGCAUUGUGUUGCAUUCUGACAUCCUCUGCCAGUUUAUUGGUAACAAGCGGUGCAUUUUAAGGGUAUAAAGGGCUUUUAAUUACAUUGGCGCUUUGGCAUGUCAUAAAGAGGACGUGGCCAAAGCACCACUCAAAAUGCAUUCAAACACAAACGACAGCACAGAUCUCUGUGAGGUUGUUUAUUUUAUCUCUGCAGUAUGUUCGCAAUAUUGUUAGCAGUGAAAUCUGGUGAUUGAUUGUAAGGGGGGAGUAGUGACUCUUAAAGUGGGUCAGUGUUUGAGCUUCUGGCGGGAUUAUACUUCCUGAGAAGCACACAUAUGUGAGCUGGGUUCCAGUCAUCAGAACAUUUCUUUGUCCUCCCUUCAUCGUAUUUUUGCACUCUCGUUUUAUUUCUUCGAAAUAAACGAUGUAUACUAUGCUAUCUCUGGUGUGAAAUGUGCGCUGUGGGGGACCCCCUGAGGCAUUAUAGCAGAAGUCGACCCUUGUCAAAACCCAAGCUUUGAUAUUUCGGAUGUUACGUGUUCUUGUAAAUAUUAACUAAAUCUAUUUUUUUGUAUUCUCUUUGAUGGCAGCAGACAGCGACUGUAUAACUGAUGUGAAACUAUACAUUGUAAUAAGAUAUGAAUGAUGUAUUCUACUUUACCCGUAAUGGGCAGUGUUGAACUUCUUGGAUUUGAACAGACCUUUUUAAGCAUAAUAGUUCCAUAAUCAUAAUGAACUGAGUAUGAGAAUUCUCUGUGUGUCUGUCCAUAUUCUUUACAAACCUUUGCCACACUUUGGAAAUGUGCUGAGAGUACAGAGAAGGCUGGUUGGUCCAUGAAUGUUAAAACUGCAUAAAUUUGCAGCAAACUGUUAACUGCACUUAUAGUAUUUAAAUUUACAUGUAUACAUACACAUUAUACAUCAUGGUCAAAUUGGCCUUCAUCAGUCAUCGUUCAAAUUGUAUUUUCCUCUUGCCAUUUACAACAAUAAAACCAGUUUAUUUAUAUUUGGACCUUUGUGGUUUUUGCAACAUGAUCAUUUUCUUCCUCAUCUAUUAAGAUUAGGAUUAACAUGUAGCCUGGAUAAUGUUGACAUAUAUUUACAGUAAAUUUCAAUUGGCCUUUAUGUCACUGCAUCCGGCUGGAAGAGGACCUGUAACAGCUGUUAAACCAAAGUUCAAAAAGUCACUAGUAUUCUAUUUGACGUUUUAUUUUCUGUGUCUCUUCCAGCAUGUUCACAAGUCAACUUCACAAGAUGCCCACUUCCCUUCACCGUACAGUACCUUAUAUUCCCAUUCAUACUUUCAGUAUAACUUUUCUGGGAUAACUGACUACACAAUAAGGUACAGUCCACCCCUUGCACAAUUGAACGAGGUUCAAUAAAAGAUGAUGAUGCUCAGUUGAAACAAUAAUUCACACAAGUGAUCAUACUGGGUAAAAGAAUCACCCUUUACUAAAACUUAUUCUUGGUUCACGUUUCAUUCGUGUAACACACACUGUAUACUGUAACCAACAUAUCUUUUGCUCGUUCUACGUCCACUAAUGACAAGAAUAUUUUGAAGAUGUUUAUUAUUCAUUGCCAAGAAAAAAAAACAAAAUGGCAAUUUUACGGAUGUUAAGUCAAAAGAGAAGAAGGGUAUACAAGCUUUUCAAAUAUGGGGUUUAAAGUUAGCAUGUCUUUCUACUGUUAGAGACGGAGAAAAAUUAGACAUUUCCUAUUAGUAAACAUGUCUUAAAUUAACAACUAAAGGGAUUAGUGAUUGAGAGUAUAAUACUACCUAUACAUCUACCUUGUCUGCAAUUAUAGUGACACUGUCAAAAGCCAUAAAUGAGCCACUUCCAUGACAAUCUUGCAUCAUUUACAUGUAAACAUUCAGUGAAAUCUAUCAAUCAUCACAAUCAUUACUUGCUCAGCCACAUAGUCAGGAACAGCAAGAGAAAAACAACAAAUAAACAGUAGCAAAUGUAUAAUACAACCCCCAUCCCUGUAAUUAGCCCUAAAACCAAAUAAGUGCCAGCAAAAGGUCCCUUAAGGCUGAGUUGUUGACCCCAGGGUUCAUACCUGCUUGUUCGCUGUUGACUCUCCUCAGAAGAAGAUUGUACUUGAGCAAUCGUGUCAGUGUUGGGAAGAAGUAAGACACAUUGUACCUAAGUAUAUGUCGGCCAUUUUGAGAUGAUGAAGCUAUUGGCUGUAUUUGGUGCAAAUGUGCAACUAUUCAUCACAUUUUCCAAUCCAAUGACUUGAUAACAAUGUAAAAUAAAAUUUUACUGAUCGCAAUCUUUCCCUCAAUGUGGCAAUCAAUGACCGCCUACUCUUUUCUGGAACAUAUAUUUGUCUUUAUUACAAUAUUGCGGUACCUUGAU